GUUCAAUUCAUUCACGUACAGCUACUGUAGGUCGUUUCCAAACCGAAAAGCGCCUACAAAUGACAAUCAGAUCCUACUACUGACUACCAGAAGGAAGUGGUAUCCACCAUCUCUCUUCUCAUCAGCAGCAAGGAGCUCCCCCAGGAGGCGAACCGUCUCAUCGUCAAACAUCCCCAGUUCUCCCUUCUCAGCACAUUGGACUGGAAUUGAGUCAGAACUUUUACACAAACUGAGUGGGAAGCCAAGCUCAGCAACAAUACUAGCAAUGAAUGUCUCUGCACUAUGGGAUGAGGCUAGGCCAAGCCCGCAGAAGGGGAUUGGACAACUUUCCGACAAAUCCACUCAGAUUUCUCUAAUUUUUUUGUGCAGAACUUUUCAGGUAUUUGUACAGUGGCAUAAUUCAUAUAUACUACUAUUCUUGUUGAUUUACUAUGAACGUUCUGUUAAAUAAAUAAUUUGUAUAUUAUCUAUGUUCAAAUUUGUUUUGAAAUAGACACUGCUUAUUUUUUCUGUCUAAUUGAUUCCUAAUAGUCAGUUUCCUUGUUCUGUUCAAUUCAUACAUUGUUUGGAAACAAGAAUUUAAGCACAACUCCUGCUUUAAUUUCAAACACCUGAUUAUAAUCAAAAGAAAUAUUAACAUCCCUUCCCAUUCCCCUGAAUUCCAAAAAGGUGUAGUCUUAUCAAGUUAUUACACAGGGAAUACAUUUUAAAGGAAUAUAACAGAACACCAAACAAAAACAGGAACUACAGUAUAAGUAAGGAUUAUUUAUAACAUUAUAACAGUGUGUCCAAAGAACCCCAUGCUACACUUUACCCUCCUUUUUGUGGAGCAGGACCAUGGUUGUAAUGAAAUAACUAUGUAUUAUACAAUUUAAUAAAAUUAACUAGGA